CUUCUGCGUGCCUCCUUUAUCCUGACAGAUUCUCAAUAAUUAGGGACUUUUCUGACGAGUUCAGUGGUACUGGGGAAACAAAGCAAAACAGACAAAUUGCGGUGCUCAGGUUCUGCCAAGGGCAGCAGACAGUGAACCACAUGAAGAAGCCUCCAACUAAUGGACUACCAUAGAUCCAAUGCCUCAGAUGCAGAUAACACUCUGGGAAGGCAGACACCACCUCUCUCCUGCACUCUGCCAUUCUCCAGGAUUGGGAAGGAUUCUGGGCACACAGUGUGGAAUAAACUGGUUCUGCAAAUGUGCCUCCACAUCCAUCUGCCUCGUAUUUAUUGAACAUAAUAAUCAAGAGUGUACUACCAUCUAUGCUUCCCUCUCUGCAGUGGCCCUCUUCCGACAAGCAAUGGGAGGUGGAAUGUGAGCUGGGCCUGG
rnacentral:lncRNA from 1 species